rnacentral:misc_RNA from 1 species
AACCUAGCACACCUGCGGUGUGUACCUGCGGAGGGAUCAUUACCUAGAGUUGUAGGCUUUGCCUGCUAUCUCUUACCCAUGUCUUCUGAGUACCUUACGUUUCCUCGGUGGGUUCGCCCGCCGGUUGGACAAAACUUAAACCCUUUGUAGUUGCAAUCAGCGUCUGAAAAAACUUAAUAGUUACAACUUUUAACAACGGAUCU